rnacentral:rRNA from 1 species
GACGAACGCUGGCGGCGUGCUUAACACAUGCAAGUCGAACGGAAAGGCCCUGCUUUUGUGGGGUGCUCGAGUGGCGAACGGGUGAGUAACACGUGAGUAACCUGCCCUUGACUUUGGGAUAACUUCAGGAAACUGGGGCUAAUACCGGAUAGGAGCUCCUGCUGCAUGGUGGGGGUUGGAAAGUUUCGGCGGUUGGGGAUGGACUCGCGGCUUAUCAGCUUGUUGGUGGGGUAGUGGCUUACCAAGGCUUUGACGGGUAGCCGGCCUGAGAGGGUGACCGGCAACAUGGGGACGGGGAGACGGCCGAGAGUCAAGGGGGAGGAAGAAGGGGGGAAUAUUGAAAAAGGGGGGAAGGCGUGAUGCAGCAACGCCGGGGGGGGGAGGAGGGCUUUGGGGUUGAAAACCGCUUGCGCCGGAGAAGAAGGGGGAGAGAGGGUAAGGGGUAAAGAAGCCCAGGCAAACUAAGUA